rnacentral:misc_RNA from 1 species
GCCCUACUGCCGCGAGCUCGACACGGGCCGCGGCGGAGGUUUGAGCACGAGGUAUUCGGUCCUCGUGAACACGUCCAGCCCGCCGCGCGGCACCUUGACCUCGAUCUUCCUCCGGCGGUGCGUGGGAUCGGGGUUGCUCGAGUAGUAGCCGAGGAUGUAGUAGUCACUCGAGUCGGCGUCAAUCCGCUUCAGCGCUUUAUCGAAGUCGUUCUGGUUGACGACGGCAAUGCCGCCGGUGUCGUCGGCAAGCACGCGCAUCGUAUCCUGCGUCUUGCGCAGGUGCUCACCCCACUCCUGCGGAUCGACCGGUUCGUCGAUGUCCUGACCGGCGACGAGCCCUCGCGGGUCCAACGUAUAGAUCGUCGUGUUGGCGCGGUUCGCGGCCCUCGUGAUCUCGCUCAGCUCGUAGGCGAGAUCCGCAUCGCUGAAGGUCUCGUUCUGCAUCAUGCUCUGCGUGAGCGGAUCGGCGGUCUGCUGCCCAUCAGGGUUGUCGGGAUCCCCGGCGUUGCGCAUCUGGUUCGACUGGUUCUGCAGGAACGGCGAGUCGGGUCUGAGCAGGCCGUAACGCGAGUCCUGGAACGGAUUGAAGUCGUAACCCUCGCUGACCCACACGAGCGCCUUGCGCCGGUUCGUCACCUUUUCCAGGUUGGCCAGCCCUUCAAGCAUCGUCGAGAAGGCGACGUGCGCCCGAUGGCGCAGUUCGGUCGGCCCCUCGGAGCCGCCCGCACGCUGGAUGAUCUCGCUCGGCUUCAGGCCGUCGCCGUGAAUCUUCUUGAUCGCCUCGUCGAGCCGCUUCUUGUCGUAGGUCAUGUCCACCGAGAUCGACGACGGGCCGCUCGAGACGAUGCCGAAGAGGUCGCCUUCGUGGAUGAGCAGCUUCGAAAUCUUCUCGAACAGUUGACGGACGCGGCCCGACUGCUGGAACUGCAGGUGGAGGUCGUCGACGAAGAAGAUGAAGAUGCGCCCAGACGUGUCGCUCUUCGCACGGCGCGGGGGUAGCAGAAUCCCUUCGGGCGUCGGCGGCGGCGGCGCCUCGAGGACGUUGGUAACCCGCCCGCCGUAGCUCAUCGUCAUCGACGUGAUGUCCUGCUUCACGCCGUCUUCGUAGAUCU